UACGUAGGGAGCAAGCGUUGUCCGGAAUCAUUGGGCGUAAAGCGCGCGUAGGUGGCCACAUAAGUCCGUUGUGAAAGUCAAAGGCUCAACCUUUGAAAGCCGAUGGAUACUGUGUGGCUAGAGUACGGAAGAGGCGAGUGGAAUUCCUGGUGUAGCGGUGAAAUGCGCAGAUAUCAGGAAGAACACCCGUGGCGAAAGCGGCUCUCUGGAACGGUACUGACGCUGAGACGCGAAAGCGUGGGGAGCGAACAGG
rnacentral:rRNA from 1 species